rnacentral:rRNA from 1 species
CACGUAGGGCGCGAGCGUUGUCCGGAUUUAUUGGGCGUAAAGAGCGUGUAGGCGGCCUGAAAGGUCAGCUGUGAAAACUCGAGGCUCAACCUCGAGACGUCGGUUGAAACCAUCUGGCUAGAGUCCGGAAGAGGAGAGUGGAAUUCCCGGUGUAGCGGUGAAAUGCGCAGAUAUCGGGAAGAACACCCGUGGCGAAGGCGGCUCUCUGGGACGGUACUGACGCUGAGACGCGAAAGCGUGGGGAGCGAACAGG